GUGGGGAAUUUUCCGCAAUGGGCGAAAGCCUGACGGAGCGACGCCGCGUGGAGGAUGAAGGAUUUCGGUCUGUAAACUCCUGUCAGGGGGGACGAUGAUGACGGUACCCCCAAAGGAAGCAUCGGCUAACUACGUGCCAGCAGCCGCGGUAAUACGUAGGAUGCAAGCGUUGUUCGGAAUUAUUGGGCGUAAAGCGUGCGUAGGCGGCUUGUUAAGUCUGGUGUGAAAGCUAGGGGCUCAACCCCUGUGUUGCACUGGAAACUGGCAGGCUUGAGUGCGGUAGGGGAAGGUGGAAUUCCGAGUGUAGCGGUGAAAUGCGUAGAUAUUCGGAAGAACACCGGUGGCGAAGGCGACCUUCUGGGCCGCCACUGACGCUGAGGCACGAAAGCGUGGGGAGCAAACGGGAUUAGAUACCCGGGUAGUCC
rnacentral:rRNA from 1 species